rnacentral:rRNA from 1 species
CCUACGGGUGGCUGCAGUGAGGAAUAUUGGUCAAUGGGCGCGAGCCUGAACCAGCCAAGUAGCGUGAAGGAUGACUGCCCUACGGGUGGUAAACUUCUUUUAUAAAGGAAUAAAGUGAGGCACGUGUGCCUUUUUGUAUGUACUUGAUGAAUAAGGAUCGGCUAACUCCGUGCCAGCAGCCGCGGUAAUACGGAGGAUCCGAGCGUUAUCCGGAUUUAUUGGGUUUAAAGGGAUCUUAGAUGGGUUGUUAAGUCAGUUGUGAAAGUUUGCGGCGCAACCAUAAAAUUGCAAUUGCUACUGGCAGCCUUGAGUACAGUUGAGGUAUGCGUAAUUCGUGGUGUAGCGGUGAAAUGCUUAGAUAUCACGCAGAACUCCGAUUGCGAAGGCAGCCUACUAAACUGCCACUGACAUUGAUGCUCGAAAGUGUGGGUAUCAAACAGGAUUAGAUACCCCUGUAGUC